AGAGCAAUAACCUUCACCUUUAUCAUCAUAUAAUUAUGACCCGUAUAUCCCAAAUAACCAAUUCCUAAAACUUUAUUCAAAGCACGCAUCCAAGAAAAGAUAUCAUCAAGACAAAUAUAGAAAAACUAUGAGACAGAUGAGAACCAAAGGUUACAAAGGAUAACCUAAAUCAGAAAGAGGUUUGCAGAAAACAGAAAUAAAUAUAAUAGAUAAUGUUUGAGGACGUGCCUUUUCUAGUGGUCUGAGAAGACUUGCCUGUCUUGGAGCAUAGUCCAGGUUCCCAGCCUCUGAUUUUCAGGCAUGGUUGCUUGCGGACGCUUGUUUUGGAUUUUCAAAUUCAGGCUCGCGUUUGCCAGAAGGACCAACAAUAACUGGGCGUGGUAUUCCUCUUAGCUUGUUAUGGCCUAUAGACAUAAUAGUAAUUUACUUAGGUUAUUAUUGUUUGUUUCUUUUUCCAAAUCUUAUUAGUGUUAAUACUUUUAUUAAGGAGGGAUACACAUAAUUUUAGAUCUAAAGACUAAGUUGGUUCCAUGUUAUUUUUAAAUAUUUGAUUGGUUUCUAUACUAAUCUUUUACUCUUUUGGUCUCUUUACUUUGAAAACAUUUCUCUAUUAAAUGUCAUUAACACCGUUAGUAGAUUUAUUACGUGAAAGCAAGUAGAACAUAUGGUUGUUUCAGGUUGGGUAAAUUUUUACAUGGUAUCAAGCAUGUAAAACUAGUUUGAUUUUUUAACAUAAAAAUUGAAAAUUAAAAACAUAAAAGAAGCUUCCUCACUAUCAUUUCUCAUUCCAAACUCUUUUUUUUUUUUAAGAUAAAAAAAUGUAACUUAUAUUCUUUAAAAAUAAGCACCAAGAGGGUGUCGACCCAUAUGCAAAAGAUAUUACAUAUCAAUAAGGAUUUUGAUAAGGUUAACAAAAUUCUCCAUAGAGAAUAAAGAGUUACAGGUAACCAGAUAACCCAAAAAUUGAUACCACCUAUCCCUAACCCUAUCAAAUCCUCCUUCCACCCCUUCAAAAACCCUUCUGUUUAUUUCUUUCCACACCACUCAAAAUAUUGUAAGAAUAAUGAGACCCAAUUGUUUUUUCCUAUCACUCACCCCCUUCAAUGCCUAUAACGCAUCCCUCACACUGUCCGCCGUUGCCCAAUUAACACCCAAAAUCCCCAACACCGUAUUCCAUAACUUGAUCGCUAGAGGACAUCAGUGGAGAAUAUGAUCGCGAGUCUCCUCUGUCAUCUUACAAAGAUAACAACUGUUGACCAUAAUCUUGCCUCUUCUUAUUAACAUAUCCAUUGUCAAAAUAUGUCCACUCCCAACUUCCCAAACAAGAAAUGCAAUUCUAGGCAGAGUCAUGAAUUUAUCCUCUACAUCAUCAUCCUCAAUCAAAUAUUUAUAGAAUGACCCAACAUAAAAGGACCCAUUUGGAUUAAGAGUCCAAAUAGGCUGGUCAUCACUCUCCACCAGAGCUAUAGAAGAAAACGAUCCCAAAAAGGACUGAUAAUCAUACACCUCCCAGUCAUAAAAAUUCCUUAGAACUUCCACAUACUACUCCCUCUUAUCCCCUGCUACGCUAAAUGCAUCCUUUACUAUAAUAUUCUUGAAUUGUACCAUACUAUAAAUCUGCAGAAAUCUAUCCUAGAGCAUUUCCUCUCUGAGCCAAGAAUCCAUCCAAAAACUAGUUGUCUCCCCAUUACCCACCCUCCAUUUAAUACACUGCUGAAAACUCUCUUCCCAUGCAUAUUUUUUUCGAACACCUGUCCGAUGCGGUCUUGUCACAUCUCUAGAAAAUAGUCCCUCCCCCUUGUCCCAACUGUGCUUCAAUAACCCUAUGCCACAAAGUGCCACUCAUUCACAACCUCCAAAUCCACUUACCUUGAAGAGCCUGAUUCAUUUCAGCAAUAGAUCUCAACCCUAACACUCCUUGAUGCAAAUGCCUUUGAGAACGUCCCACGCCACCAAAUGAUAUCUCACUUUCUCUUCCUAGUCAUCCCAAAGAAAUAUGCAUUGGAUUGCUUUCAAUUUCCUUACAACACUCACCGAAAUUAUUAAAAGAGACAUAUAAUACACUAAUAAAUUUNNNNNNNNNNNNNNNNNNNNNNNNNNNNNNNNNNNNNNNNNNNNNNNNNNNNNNNNNNNNNNNNNNCACAUCUUUAUAUUUUGCUUCCAAAGUCAUACCCAAAUACUUGAUUGGAAGCUUUCCAACCUUGCAUCCCAAAACUUUAGCCAAACUCUCUUUAUUUACUCAUUCGCCCAGUCUCACCAACUCAAACUUUGCAAAGUUAAUCUUAAAGUCCAACACUGCUUGAAAACACAAUAAAACAAACUAGAUCAAGCAAAAGCAUUCUUGUCCAGUUCAUAGAAAACAAGAGUGUAAUUGGAGAAGAUGAGAUGAAUGCUCUCCUCCUCUUGCUCUCCUCCUUCCACCUUAAGUUCUCUGAGUAGACCCUCUUCCUUAGAUAUCAUCAUCAACAUAUUCAAUGCUUUCAUAGCUAUGAUGAAGAACAAAGGGGCUAAUAGAUCUCCUUGCCUAAGGCCUCUCGUAGCCUUGAAGGAAGUCAAUGUCCACCUUUUCAAUAGUACUGCGAAAGAUGUCAUUGUGAUAUAGGAAUUAAUCCACUUGCACCAUCUCCCACCAAAACCUGUUGUCAUCAACAUAUAAUCGAUGAAAACCCAAUUAACAUGGUUAUACGUUCUCUCCAUUUUUAGCUUGGAUAGAAUUCCAUAUCUAUUAUGGUAUAAAAGAUCAUACACAACUUGAUUUGCUACCAAAAAAACAUUCGUAUUAUUUCUUCCUUCCACAAACACGCUCUGAUAUUCUCCUGUGACCUCCCCCGGUACCUUUACUAUGCGUCUUGUCAAUACCUUCACAAUGAUCUUGUACACACUCCUUAUUAAACUUAUAGGCCUGAAAUUCUUGAUAUUUGUAACUCAUUCCACUUUUGGAAUUAAUGCUAACAAAGUAGAAUUUAAAGAUUUCACAAACAUUUUUGCUUCGAAAUUUUUUUUAGAAAUCUCUAGAAUAUCUUCCUUCGUUAAGUGCUAGAACUUAUAUAUAAAUCCCAUAUUAAAGCCAUUGGGUCCCGAAUCUUUAUCCUUGUUACAUUGCAUAGGUCCGUCAUAGAUUUUUUCCUCUGUGAAAUCUCGUUCUAACAAUUCUCUACUCCUGUCACCCCAAACUCUGAAAACUAAUACCAUCCAGUUGAGGUCUCCAAUUAAACUCGUCUAGAUAUAGUCUACAGAAAAAGCUUUUAACCUCUUGUCUAAGUUGCUUAUUACCCUUCAUCAUUCUAUCCUCAAUCACCAUUUUCUCCACAUAAUUGAUCCUCCUAUGAUGACUAACCAUAAAAUGAAAAAAUUUAGUGUUUUGAUCACUGUCUUUUAUCCACAUGCCUCUUGAUUUUUGUCUCCACAAGAUCUCCUCCAUUUGUAAACUCCUUGCUAGAUCAAUCUUCACUGAUUCCUUUCUAGCCUGUUCCUCAUCAGAUAAUCCUACCUCACAUUCUUUUGAGGCAAUUAAGUUCAGUUAUUAAAAUAUUUUGAGAAUUCUCUCAAUUUUCCGGUUGUGUGAUGCUUAAGAGUUAGAUGUGAUAUCUAAGAAACCCAAGUAUGAUGUCUAGAUUUUUUCCCCAAAAUCAUAAGUAGUCAACUCUAAUUUAUACAAACACAACAUCUAGCCUAAAUUUCUUCAACAAAGGGUUAGCAACAUAUCUGUUGUGAUUUUCCAAAUGUCUUGUGUAGCUUUAAGUUUGCUAGCAGGACAAAAGUAGGAAAGAUGCAGCGGUGAGCUGUCGAUUUUCUGAAUCAGUUGAGGGUCUUAAAGUGUUUUAUCUAGAUAUACUACUGCUAUUGUCAAAGAUUGAUCCUAUUAGUUUCUGCUGGUUAUUUAUUCGCAACCAAAAGCUUCAUCAGUUCUGCUUUCCAAAUCUGUCAGUUAGAUCCUCAAAGACGUCUAUGUUGGUUCUACUGAUGAGUCUUCAUUUUAGGUUCUUGGGCAGAUUCAUGUUCAAAGGUUGUCUUGGGCAGCAUUAAGUUUGUUAGCAAGACAGCGGUAAAAGAUGUUGUGAGCUGCUGAUUUUCCAAUGAGUUGUGGGUCUAUACAUAAUUCAAAUAUAGUAAAGUGACUUCAGACGCAUUACAAACUCUCAUCAUAUUUAUAAGUUCUGCACAAAAUACAGUUAGGAGACCCCUAAACAACAGAAAAUGUAAUCCGACACAAAGGGGAAAAAAGUUCCAACAGAAGGCCCAAACCGAGUACCAAACAAAAAGCUGAUAAAGAUAACAAUAUGGUCAAUAAAACUGAAAAACCAUUAAUAGAGCUUGAUAAGGCAGACAAAACAAAUGAUACCCAUGACAACAAUCGGCAAAAGCUUGGUGAGGUAGCAGGGUUAUACCAAAUAAUCCAAAAAAUUAACUUUAGAGACCUAGACAUCACUAGUUUCUGAUUAAAAUAAAACUUUUGCUUUCAAGUAAUGUGAUAGAAAGAGAUAUAAAGAGAAACAUAUUAAAAGUAUAUGCAGGGCCUACAUAAACAGAACAUAGAUAUAUGCAUUUAAAACCCAUGAAAAAUCUAUGAUGUGGAGAGACUUAUGAAGAUAAUUUUUUGAAAAACAAAGAAACAUAAAAGAACUGAGAUAUAAAUCCAUGAACCUUCUGCAAAAUAAGAAGAAAACACGUCUACAAAAUUCAUUAAAAUGGGUCCAAACCAUUGAACCAGGCAACAAUCAUCGACCUUCCCCAAUUCCCUACAUUAUAUUCUCAUAACUUCCAAGUACCAGGUAUCCAUAUAAAAAAUAACAAUAACCAACAAGUCAAUAGGGUAUGUUAAUUUAUUUUACGAUAUUUGUGAACGUUGAAAAUUAUAAUUGUUUAACCAAUUUCUUCACCAAGCAAUUCAAAUUUUCGGACCCUUAAAACUUAUAAAAAGCUAAAAAAAAACUAGCAAAAGGUAAUGGAAUUUUAACUAUCCAAAUCACCAAGCUAAAAUAGAAAGGGAGAGAAGAAAAAUUAACUGUGCGGCCAGAACAGUGAUUCCUGAACUUGAUGAUGGUGUAAUUGGAGGUGUUGGCACGAUUAGAAGGGCCAUUGACUGGCGCAUUGCAAUGGGUUUGGGAGGAAAAUGCAAAGAAGCAGGAGAUGGAGGUUCACAACGGCUUCACGAUUUACCUCUCGAUCUCCUUUUCUGGACCCGGCCCCUUCCAUUGGCUGCACGUCGACGAACUUUUAAUAAACUCAAGAAACGGUGAAAUGAGCCUGUAUUCUCGGGUGGGAUUGGAUUGCGUUGCUUUAAUGUGUUGAGGAGAAAUACAAUUUUAUUAAUGUUUAGUUGGGCUUCCAAAACCAAAAUUAAUGGACCUAAAUUUAUUAGUAAAUUUACUAGUUCUUUAUUAUUAUUAUUAUUUUAAAAGAAAAUUAUAUACUUGUAUGCAUUUAUUUUUAAAAAAUGUGAAAAUAAUCAGAACAAAUUUAGGA
rnacentral:lncRNA from 1 species